rnacentral:rRNA from 1 species
GACGAACGCUGGCGGCGUGCUUAACACAUGCAAGUCGAACGGUGAAGCUCCAGCUUGCUGGAGUGGAUCAGUGGCGAACGGGUGAGUAACACGUGAGCAACCUGCCCCUGACUCUGGAAUAAGCGCUGGAAACGGCGUCUAAUACUGGAUACGAGAAGGGUCCGCAUGGGGACUUUCUGGAAAGUUUUUCGGUUGGGGAUGGGCUCGCGGCCUAUCAGCUUGUUGGUGAGGUAAUGGCUCACCAAGGCGACGACGGGUAGCCGGCCUGAGAGGGCGACCGGCCACACUGGGACUGAGACACGGCCCAGACUCCUACGGGAGGCAGCAGUGGGGAAUAUUGCACAAUGGGCGAAAGCCUGAUGCAGCGACGCCGCGUGAGGGAUGACGGCCUUCGGGUUGUAAACCUCUUUCAGCAGGGAAGAAGCGAAAGUGACGGUACCUGCAGAAGAAGCACCGGCUAACUACGUG